GAUGAAGAACGUAGCGAAAUGCGAUACGUAAUGUGAAUUGCAAAUUCAGUGAAUCAUCGAGUCUUUGAACGCACAUUGCGCCCCCUGGUAUUCCGGGGGGCAUGCCUGUCCGAGCGUCAUUGCUGCCCUCAAGCACGGCUUGUGUGUUGGGCCCCGUCCUCCGAUCCCGGGGGACGGGCCCGAAAGGCAGCGGCGGCACCGCGUCCGGUCCUCGAGCGUAUGGGGCUUUGUCACCCGCUCUGUAGGCCCGGCCGGCGCUUGCCGAUCAACCCAAGUUUUUAUCCAGGUUGACCUCGGAUCAGGUAGGGAUACCCGCUGAACUUAAGCAUAUCAAUAAGCGGAGGA
rnacentral:misc_RNA from 1 species